rnacentral:rRNA from 1 species
AAUACAUGCUAAAAACCCCGACUUCAGGAAGGGGUGUAUUUAUUAGAUAAAAAACCAACGCCCUUCGGGGCUCCUUGGUGAUCAUAAUAACUUAACGAAUCGCAUGGCCAUUGCGCCGGCGAUGGUUCAUUCAAAUUUCUGCCCUAUCAACUUUCGAUGGUAGGAUAGUGGCCUACCAUGGUGGCAACGGGUAACGGGGAAUUAGGGUUCGAUUCCGGAGAGGGAGCCUGAGAAACGGCUACCACAUCCAAGGAAGGCAGCAGGCGCGCAAAUUACCCAAUCCCGAUACGGGGAGGUAGUGACAAUAAAUACUGAUACGGGGCUCUUUUGGGUCUCGUAAUUGGAAUGAGAACAAUUUAAAUCCCUUAACGAGGAACAAUUGGAGGGCAAGUCUGGUGCCAGCAGCCGCGGUAAUUCCAGCUCCAAUAGCGUAUAUUAAAGUUGUUGCAGUUAAAAAGCUCGUAGUUGAACCUUGGGUCUGGCUGGCCGGUCCGCCUCACCGCGAGUACUGGUCCGGCUGGACCUUUCCUUCUGGGGAACCUCAUGGCCUUCACUGGCUGUGGGGGGAACCAGGACUUUUACUGUGAAAAAAUUAGAGUGUUCAAAGCAGGCCUUUGCUCGAAUACAUUAGCAUGGAAUAAUAGAAUAGGACGUGUGGUUUAUUUUGUUACCGCCGUAAUGAUUAAUAGGGAUAGUCGGGGGCGUCAGUAAAGAAAUUGAUUCAGCUGUCAGAGGUGAAAUUCUUGGAUUUGCUGAAGACUAACUACUGCGAAAGCAUUCGCCAAGGAUGUUUUCAUUAAUCAGGGAACGAAAGUUAGGGGAUCGAAGACGAUCAGAUACCGUCGUAGUCUUAACCAUAAACUAUGCCGACUAGGGAUCGGACGGGAUUCUAUAAUGACCCGUUCGGCACCUUACGAGAAAUCAAAGUUUUUGGGUUCUGGGGGGAGUAUGGUCGCAAGGCUGAAACUUACGGAAGGGCACCACAAGGCGUGGAGCCUGCGGCUUAAUU